AACGAACGCUGGCGGCAGGCUUAACACAUGCAAGUCGAGCGCCCCGCAAGGGGAGCGGCAGACGGGUGAGUAACGCGUGGGAACAUACCCUUUGGUUCGGAAUAACUCAGGGAAACUUGAGCUAAUACCGGAUACGUCCGUAAGGAGAAAGAUUUAUCGCCAAAGGAUUGGCCCGCGUCCGAUUAGCUAGUUGGUGAGGUAACGGCUCACCAAGGCUACGAUCGGUAGCUGGUCUGAGAGGAUGAUCAGCCACAUUGGGACUGAGACACGGCCCAAACUCCUACGGGAGGCAGCAGUGGGAAUAUUGGACAAUGGGCGCAAGCCUGAUCCAGCCACGCCGCGUGAGUGAUGAAGGCCUUCGGGUCGUAAAGCUCUGUGGGGAGGGACGAACCGCUGCACGUUCAUAGCGUGCAGCAUGACGGUACCUCCUUAGCAAGCACCGGCUAACUUCGUGCCAGCAGCCGCGGUAAU
rnacentral:rRNA from 1 species